rnacentral:rRNA from 1 species
UACGUAGGCAGCAAGCGUUGUUCGGAGUUACUGGGCGUAAAGGGUCUGUAGGUGGCCAACUAAGUCAGACGUGAAAUCCCUCAGCUUAACUGGGGAACUGCGUCUGAUACUGGAUGGCUCGAGUGUGGGAGAGGAAUGCGGAAUUCCAGGUGUAGCGGUGAAAUGCGUAGAUAUCUGGAGGAACACCGGUGGCGAAGGCGGCAUUCUGGACCAUAACUGACACUGAGAGACGAAAGCCAGGGGAGCAAACAGG